ACAGCUGAGGAUUGUGGGGAGGUGUGUGCUGGGUGUGUGUGUGUGUGUGCUGCAUGCACUCUACAGGCAGGGCAGUCCUGGCAUGGGGCCGUUCUGGGCUAGAGGGGCCGGUGUGUGCUCUGGGUGCCCCAUGGCCAGGGCUCUCCUCUAGACACAGGCUCAGUCUGCUGGAGCGGGUCAGUGCCGAGGCUGUGACCACCACCCUGCACCAGGUGACUCGGGAGAGGAUGGAGGACCGUUGCCGAGGCGAGUACGAGCGCUCCUUCCUGCGUGAGUUCCACAAGUGGAUCGAGCGGGUGGUCGGCUGGCUCGGCAAGGUGUUCCUGCAGGACGGCCCCACCAGGCCUGCGUCUCCCGAGGCCGGCAACACCCUGCGCCGUUGGCGCUGCCAUGUGCAAAGGUUCUUCUACCGCAUCUACGCCAGCCUGCGCAUCGAGGAGCUCUUCAGCAUCGUCCGAGACUUCCCAGACUCCCGGCCAGCCAUCGAGGACCUCAAGUACUGCCUGGAGAGGACGGACCAGAGGCAGCAGCUGCUCGUGUCCCUCAAGGCUGCCCUGGAGACUCGGCUCCUGCAUCCAGGCGUCAACACGUGUGACAUCAUCACCCUCUAUAUCUCUGCCAUCAAGGCGCUGCGCGUGCUGGACCCUUCCAUGGUCAUCCUGGAGGUGGCCUGUGAGCCCAUCCGCCGCUACCUGAGGACACGGGAGGACACAGUGCGGCAGAUUGUGGCUGGGCUGACGGGGGA
rnacentral:sRNA from 1 species